GGGCCGGUAGCGCAGUCCGGCAGCGCACCUCCAUGGCAUGGAGGGGGUCGUGGGUUCAAAUCCCAUCCGGUCCACCC
rnacentral:tRNA from 1 species